rnacentral:rRNA from 1 species
UAGGGAAUCUUCCACAAUGGACGCAAGUCUGAUGGAGCAACGCCGCGUGAGUGAAGAAGGUUUUCGGAUCGUAAAGCUCUGUUGUUGGUGAAGAAGGAUAGAGGUAGUAACUGGCCUUUAUUUGACGGUAAUCAACCAGAAAGUCACGGCUAACUACGUGCCAGCAGCCGCGGUAAUACGUAGGUGGCAAGCGUUGUCCGGAUUUAUUGGGCGUAAAGCGAGCGCAGGCGGAAGAAUAAGUCUGAUGUGAAAGCCCUCGGCUUAACCGAGGAACUGCAUCGGAAACUGUUUUUCUUGCGUGCAGAAGAGGAGAGUGGAAUUCCAUGUGUAGCGGUGGAAUGCGUAGAUAUAUGGAAGAACACCAGUGGCGAAGGCGACUCUCUGGUCUGCAACUGACGCUGAGGCUCGAAAGCAUGGGUAGCGAACAGG